rnacentral:lncRNA from 1 species
UGUGCGCAGAGUGUGGAAAAGGCAAAUCACAAGACGAGAGGCUGGAUUACAUUCUUUGAACUUAUUAAAGAACCAUUGUAACGUUUCUCUCUGUUCAUUUACUAGCAAUCCAAGAGCAGCUAUCUCACUCUGGCCAUUACCAUCCUCAAUUAAUAGCACAUACAAUGGGAUUCUCAUAUCCACCAGCUUGAAAUGCUUUAAAUUCUUCCUUCAUCCUUAAAUCUUGAAGAAACAUGCCUAAAAAGUUCCCAUCACUGUCUGUCAACAGUUCAACAUGACAACCAUACAUCUUUUUGACAUCUUCCACCGUUUCUUCAAAACUUUUCACACAUUUUCGUUUCUCUAGAAAAUGGAACAUUCCACAUUUAAUUUCAGCUUGUACUUUGGCUUGAAUAAGCUUUUUAUUUGCCUUCAUUUCCAUCAGUUCAAGUACAUCAGCUUUCAUUUGUGGUUCCAAGCGGCGUUGAUUUGGCAAAUUGGAGAACAAUAGUUCUGAGGUCUCGUGGUUAUGUGACUCAUUCAUUUGAGAAAUCUCUAACUUAGUGCCAUCAGUUGUAACUCUUACAUAGAUGAAAGCAGGACAAUUUUGCUUCAUUGUACUACAUUAUAUAGAAUAUAGUAAAUAUCUGAAUGAUGAUGAAAGCAAUAAAAAAAGUAAAAUAAUUGUAUAAUACUUA